UACGAAGGGAGCGAGCGUUGUUCGGAAUCACUGGGCGUAAAGCGUGCGUAGGCGGUUUUAUAAGUCAGAAGUGGAAGCCUGGGGCUUAACCUCAGAAUUGCUUUUGAGACUGUAAAGCUAGAAUCCUGGAGAGGUUAGUGGAAUUCCGAGUGUAGAGGUGAAAUUCGCAGAUAUUCGGAGGAACACCAGUGGCGAAGGCGACUAACUGGACAGGCAUUGACGCUGAGGCACGAAAGCGUGGGGAUCAAACAGG
rnacentral:rRNA from 1 species